rnacentral:rRNA from 1 species
GAUGAACGCUGGCGGUGUGCCUAAUACAUGCAAGUCGAGCGAACGGACGAGAAGCUUGCUUCUCUGAUGUUAGCGGCGGACGGGUGAUUAACACGUGGAUAACCUACCUAUAAGACUGGGAUAACUUCGGGAAACCGGAGCUAAUACCGGAUAAUAUUUUGAACCGCAUGGUUCAAAAGUGAAAGACGGUUUUGCUGUCACUUAUAGAUGGAUCCGCGCUGCAUUAGCUAGUUGGUAAGGUAACGGCUUACCAAGGCAACGAUGCAUAGCCGACCUGAGAGGAUGAUCGGCCACACUGGAACUGAGACACGGUCCAGACUCCUACGGGAGGCAGCAGUAGGGAAUCUUCCACAAUGGGCGAAAGCCUGACGGAGCAACGCCGCGUGAGUGAUGAAGGUCUUCGGAUCGUAAAACUCUGUUAUUAGGGAAGAACAUAUGUGUAAGUAACUGUGCACAUCUUGACGGUACCUAAUCAGAAAGCCACGGCUAACUACGUG